AUGAGUCGAGGGUCCUCUGGGCCUGAACCUCCCAACCCUUUGUUUACUGAACCACCGUUGCUUCGGCGGGCCCGUCUUCUCACGAGGACCGCCGGAGGACCGCCGUCACAGGCGUCCUCUGGCCCGCGCCCGCCGAUGGCCCAACCACAAAACUCUUUAUUGAACCGUGUCGUCUGUCUGAAUGUCAUAACAAGCAAAUAAAUGCA
rnacentral:misc_RNA from 1 species